rnacentral:rRNA from 1 species
CACGGGUGAGUAACACGUAUCCAACCUGCCGUCUACUCUUGGACAGCCUUCUGAAAGGAAGAUUAAUACAAGAUGGCAUCAUGAGUCCGCAUGUUCACAUGAUUAAAGGUAUUCCGGUAGACGAUGGGGAUGCGUUCCAUUAGAUAGUAGGCGGGGUAACGGCCCACCUAGUCUUCGAUGGAUAGGGGUUCUGAGAGGAAGGUCCCCCACAUUGAAACUGAGACACGGUCCAA